rnacentral:rRNA from 1 species
CCUGCACCUGCCGGCGACCGGCGCACGGGUGAGUAACACGUAUGGAACCUGCCCGCCACAGGGGGAUAACCCGGGGAAACCCGGCCUAAUACCCCAUGCCGCCCGGACCGGGCAUCCGGUCCGGGCGAAAGGAGGAAUCCGGUGGCGGGCUGGGCAUGCGGCGCAUUAGCUUGACGGCGGGGUAACGGCUCACCGUGGCGACGAUGCGUAGGGGUUCUGAGAGGAAGGCCCCCCACCACUGGAACUGAGACACGGUCCAGACUCCUACGGGAGGCAGCAG